AGUUUUUAUGAAACAGUGAAACAGUAAUAAAUGACCUUCUCCUAACAAUAGGGGCCCCCUCAGCAUCCUGGGAACCUUGUUCCAAAAUACCUGGGAGGCUUUCACCGUUCCUAACCCCUUCCCAACCUGAGAGUAUUUAAUGGGUCACUACUCAUGACCCCAGGACCGCUCCAUCUGCCCCCGGGUCCUCUCCCUGUGCUUUAAUAAAACCACCUUUUUGGACCAAAGAGGUCUCAAAAAUCCCUCCUUGGGCCAUGGGCUCCUCACAGACAUUCCAAAACUACAUGCUUUGGCGCUCAGUGUGGGGCUCCGGUUGUGUCUCCUGGACUCAGCCUUGGUGUGGGCCUGGCGAGUACGUUCUCUCGUCUCCCCACUCUCAUUGCAGGGGCUUUUUGAGGAGUAUCGUCUUACUGGAACACGUUCAGGUCGAUCGCUAAGGUACGAUUGUCCAGCCCAAUGCUGCUCUACCAGGACAGACGGAGAAACCCUGCCAUUUCGCUGGAAGUCAGUCCCCGAGCCUGAACGUUCCCAAGGACUCUCCCUCGGGGAGCCUUCUAACCCCCCGGAAACCAUGUGGAUUGCGAAGUUGAGGAAAGGAUUGAGCUCCUGUAGCCCCGCGUGGCCUCGGUGGGAUGUGGCGGUUCGUCUCUUCCGCAGGAAGCGGGGCGCAUGGGCGGGGAUGCUCUAGGGCAGCCUGCGGGCUCCGCAUCGGACCGACCUAAGGGGCCUCUUGCAGAACAGGUCGGGUCAGGAACCGGGCCGGUCAAUUCCCUCCCAGCGUGGAGGACGAUAAUGAUCUAAACAUGCCUCGUCCCGACAGGAUCCAGGUUGCUGGAGGAAACAGGGGCCGUGGUCCCGAGGAGACGGACGGGGUCUCACGGUCCCUCCUCCUGACGGCUGUGGGGGCGUCUCCUGCAUUUCGCGGGCUUGCUGGCUGCAGUUAGAGCCAGCUGUGGGGCUGGACCCGGGGAUGGGGACUUGAAGGAGGUUUCCCAAGCAGCUGCCGAAACUCCCUCUGUGUCCGGGGAGUUUCCUGUCUUCUCCAGCCCGACCUGGAUCACAGGUGUCCACGCUGGGGGACAAACAAACAGGGUGUCUGUUCGUCUGUCUGAGCCGAGGAGCUUUAGAACCAAGAAACCGCGUUCUCUGCCUUCUGGGGGCACGUGGCCUCCUCUCCAGGCCUCCCCCUCCCGUGUCUGCAUGGCCCCGGGGGCCUCCUGCUUAACUGGCUUUGGGGCCCUCCUUGCUGGUGCUCGGGCCUCCCCCCCCCCCCCCAGGAGCAGAGAGGAGGGUCAACACUUGACCCCUAGCACUCCAGACUCCCCCCAGGGUCCCAGGGAAAAACCACAGAGGGCAACAAACUGAUUGGCUUUUAAAAGAGGGUCCAGGUGGAAUGUAAUUGGCAUUGAAACUAAUUUAAGUUUGUUGGAUUAAUUAAGAUGAACAUAUCUUUAGAAUUAUCAGCAUUAAAGAUGAAACAUUUAUUCUACCAGGGUUUGCUGAAGGUCAAAUAGGCUGUUGUCUCAGUUGCAAUUUGUCAGCAAAAAAUGACUAAAAUGAUGGUUCAUUUUCUGUCUCAAAGCUUUCUCUGGGAAGCCCUGGGUCGGUCGAGCGUCCGCCUCUGGCUCCGUCCGGGUCCGGGAUGGAGCCUGCUUCUCCCUCCGACCCUCCCGCUGCUUGUGCUGUCGCCCGCUCUCGCUCUCUCUCAAGUAGAUUAAUAAAAUCUUAAAAAAAAAAAAAAAAAGACUCCUAUUUGGGUUCUUUUUCUUUCUGUUCCUCUAACCCCGUUUGUGUCUUUCCCCACGUCUCUCCGCCCGGUGCCGAGACGCUUUCUCUGCCGCCGCGUCCCGCCGAGGGUGCUUCCCGCUCGGGGGAUCUGCACGUGCGGCCUCUCCUGACUCAGCGCCUCUGCCCCUCGCUGCUGCUCUCGCUGCGAACGCCCCAGGGACAGCGUGGAGCCCAGCACGGCCGUCUCUGCGCCCCCAGUCAGCAGGGAGACCUCUCGGAAGAUGAGACCUUCCAUCAACAACUUACAGGCUGAAGGAUCAGAGGGUUCGGGGUGGGGGGGGUGACGUGGGAACCAAAAGCAGAAGAAAAAUCAAAUUUCCUUUCUCCCUACAGCCCACUGACAAGUCCUCGGAACAGGCAGAGCGACCUUCCUCUAGGGGCUCAGCGGCCUCCAUGCUGACACUUCACGAAGGGCAACAAGCCAUUCUGGCCCGACCCCCAGGAUCCUGUAAGUCUAUUUUAACAUAAACAUUUCUUUGGAGACUUCCUUUACGUAUCCCGAGUACACGGUGGCCAUCAUCGCCAGAAGCAUACACGCACUGAGCUACUGUUGAGGAAAAUCUGAGUUGACCGAGAAAACCCAAAGGGCCCACGGCGAGACGGGGGAGCACGGCUUUGUGAAUAGCAGCGGGCUCAGUGGCAUCGCUCGCAGAGACUGAGCACCGGACCGGGAGCCAAGGGGAGCCCGGGACGGAAAGGAGCUGGAGCCAGGAGGCUCUGUCCGCCUCAGUAAAUCCCAAAGGUCUCAGGACUGAGUUUUCAUGGAACAGUAGUGCAUGACCUUCUCCUCGCUAGAGCUGCCCCCUCAGGGUCCUGGAAACCUUGUUCCCAAAAUACCUGGGAGGCCCGCGCUCUCCCUAACCCCUCCCGACUUGGAAGUAUAUAGGGGCCCCUCCCCAGGACCCAGUGCAGCUCUACCUGCCCCCGGUCCUGUCCCCGGGCUUUAAUAAAACCACCUUUUUGCACCGAAGAUGCCUCAAGAAUUCUUUCUUGGGCUGUGGGCCCUGAACUUCACCAAUAUUCCAAAACUAUGUCUAGUACUCCAGAGAAUGAGCCAUGUUACAGCGGUUUAAUACAUUCUCACAUCUUGUAAAAGCUCAAAAGAUGAUAGAUCAGCACACAGGCAGGAAUCAUAAGUCUAACGGCAAGGAGUGUGGAGAGUAGAAUCGGUCCAUACAUUGAGGAUCUUCCUUUAGAUGACUCAGUUGAACAGCAGGUGUGUAAUGUCAGCUUGGUGGGCUGGGAUCAGCCUUCGGGUUUAUUCAUUUACUUAUUUGUUUAUUCUUAAAGAUUUCAUUUGUUUACUUGACGGAGAGACAGUGAGAGAGGGAACCAAGCAGGGAGAGAGAGGGAGAAGCAAGCUUCCCACCAAGAAGGGAGCCUGAUGCGGGGAUUGAUCCCAGGACCCCGCGAUCAUGACCUGAGCCAAAGGCAGAUGCUUAACGACCGAGCCCCCCCAGGUGUCCCUAAUGAAGUUCUUGAACCCAGGUGAGGUUCGGUGGGGUGAGGUUCGAAGCCGACGGCUAAGAAAGAAAAUUAAGACGCCUUUGGUGCAAAAAGGUGGUUUAUUAGAGCACGGGGACAGGGCUGGUGGGCAGGGGGAGAUGCUGCCUGGGGGUGUGAGGAGGGGCUGGUUAUAUACACAGGAGUUGGGUAGGUGAGGACAAAGGCGUGUUCAGAAGGGCUCUUGGGGUACAGAAGACUGUCAGGAUAUUGGAGGCCUGGUUCCUAUCAAGCCAAGGCCGUUUUUCCCCUUAAUGAGGCACUAGCAGGAAGACAGUUGGGGGUUUCCUGAUGGAAUGUCACAUUCCUGCUAUCAAGUGUCCUUGUUAGUGAGAUUUGGGUUUAGAAGAAAUUUAACUUUAUUUACAUUUCCUUCUGCCUCGGCCUCCUUCGGUUUUUAUGGAGGGGAGCGCGACUUAGGGCUUGAGGAACUGAGUUAUGUGCCUCUGGAAAUUGGGCUCUUGAUAAGGUAACUUCUUUGUAGAUCUCUAGGACAUUUGUAAACCCAGGGAGACUCCGUCCUGCAGGAUUGUAUCUCUGCAAGUUAACUGUUUGUUUCUCGCUGAUGGCAGUCGGGGUGCCUGAGGAAUGUUGCACACAUUACCGAGGGGAGCGGGUGGAGAGGGGGUGCAAGGUGCCAGCUUUUGCUCUGUCCUCAGCCAGCCUCCUGCUCCCUCAUCCUCCCCAGGCUUUGGGUUUAAACAAGUCUCCGUACAGUCGUGCUGGUUUGGAAGGUGAUCUGGAGUGACUUCCUUACAUCUCGGCCUUAGUGAGCUUCUCCAUUCAAAUCCCCAGGCAGGGGCAGAGGCAGGACCCCGUGGCCCCUGUGCUCUGCUCCUGCCCACAGUCACGCCGGAAUCCAACAUUAGCCGCGGAGCUCCCCAACCCCAACACCGAAGCUGCUUUUCUCUGGCCUUUCUGCAGCCCGCAUUCACUCACGGUAAGGCUGGCCUUUGGGAGGAAGAUGGGGUUUCAGUGCAUCAGGGUUUAGGCCGCUGACCCAGGAACCCCCCCCCCACCCCGACCUCCAGCUGCGGCCCCACCCUCUCCCUCCGCCCCCACACUGGAUUCUGCCUGCUGCUCGGUGCCUCUCAUAAACACAUGUUCUCCA